AUCCUUUUGUGGUUUGUAAGCAUCAUAGUUUUGUUGACACAUGGUUGUGACAUGUGUUCCCUCCAAAUUUUGUAAUGACAUUGGCACAUUACCUACCUGCUG